rnacentral:rRNA from 1 species
GACAGAGGGUGCAAACGUUGUUCGGAAUUACUGGGCGUAAAGCGCGUGUAGGCAGCUUAGCAAGCCGGAUGUGAAAGCCCUGGGCUCAACCUAGGAAGUGCAUUCGAAACUGCUGAGCUAGAGUUCUGGAGAGGAAGGCGGAAUUCUCGGUGUAGAGGUGAAAUUCGUAGAUAUCGGGAGGAACACCGGUGGCGAAGGCGGCCUUCUGGACAGCAACUGACGCUGAGACGCGAAAGCGUGGGGAGCAAACAGG